rnacentral:rRNA from 1 species
UUGGAGGGCAAGUCUGGUGCCAGCAGCCGCGGCAAUUCCAGCUCCAAUAGCGUAUAUUAAAGUUGUUGCAGUUAAAAAGCUCGUAGUUGAAUUUCGGGGUUAGUAGGUUGGUCAUGCCUCUGGUAUGCACUGGUCUCACUGAUUCCUCCUUCCUGAUGAGCCGUAAUGCCAUUAAUUUGGUGUUGCGGGGAAUUUGGACUGUUACUUUGAAAAAAUUAGAGUGUUUAAAGCAAGCUAACGCUUGAAUACAUUAGCAUGGAAUAAUGAAAUAGGACGUUCGAUCCUAUUUUGUUGGUUUCCAGGAUUGACGUAAUGAUUAAUAGGGAUAGUUGGGGGCAUUAGUAUUCAAUUGUCAGAGGUGAAAUUCUUGGAUUUAUUGAAGACUAACUACUGCGAAAGCAUUUGCCAAGGAUGUUUUCAUUAAUCAAGAACGAAAGUUAGGGGAUCGAAGACGAUCAGAUACCGUCGUAGUCUUAACCAUAAACUAUGCCGACUAGGGAUCGGAUGAUGUUAAUUUUUUAAUGACUCAUUCGGCGCCUUACGGGAAAC